rnacentral:rRNA from 1 species
UACGAAGGGGGCUAGCGUUGUUCGGAAUUACUGGGCGUAAAGCGCACGUAGGCGGAUAUUUAAGUCAGGGGUGAAAUCCCAGAGCUCAACUCUAGAACUGACCUUUGAUACUGGAUAAUCUUGAGUAUGGGAAGAGGUAAGUGGAAUUGCGAGUGUAGAGGUGAAAUUUCGUAGAUAUUCGCAGGAACACCAGUGGCGAAGGCGGCUUACUGGUCCAUUAACUGACGCUGAGG